AUGCUUGCUUUGGCAGCACAUAUAAUAAAAUUAGAAUGAUACAGAGAUUAGCAUGGCCCCUAUGCAAGGAUGACAUGCAAAUUCACAAAGCAUUCCAUAUAUGU
rnacentral:snRNA from 1 species